GUGUGGAUAUAUAUAUUUUUUAAAGGAUAUUUUUCUGGGUUUGUUAAUUCUUAUGAUUUUAUGAUCCAAGUUUAUGACCUCUUCACUAACUAUGAGUUAAAAAUGUUAGUUUAAUCUUCUUUCCCUUAUGAGAAAUACCUAUUUAUCAAUUACCACGACAAACUUAGAACCUCUCAAAUAUAUCAAAUAAGAGAACAGGAUAAUAAAUCUAUCCAGGAUGUCACUCGUUGCAUGACAUUUUAAAGAUUUGUGUAAUAGCAACACAAAGAAUCAAAAACCUAUGUAAUCCAUGCAAAAUAAAU
rnacentral:misc_RNA from 1 species